rnacentral:rRNA from 1 species
GAUGAACGCUAGCGGCAGGCUUAAUACAUGCAAGUCGAGGGGCAGCAGGGUGUAGCAAUACAUCGCUGGCGACCGGCGCACGGGUGCGUAACACGUAUGCAACCUACCUAUAUCAGGGGGAUAGCCCGGGGAAACUCGGAUUAAUACCGCAUAAUAUUGUGAAGCGGAAUCUUUUUACAAUUAACAUUCAGAUGGAUAUAGAUGGGCAUGCGUUCGAUUCGCUAGUUGGUGGUGUAAAGGACCACCAAGGCAACGAUCGAUAGGGGUACUGUGAGGUGUAACCCCCACACUGGGCCUGAGACACGGACCAUGCUCCUACGGGAGGCAGCAGUAAGGAAGAUUGGGCAAUGGAGUCAACUCUGACCCAGCCAUGCCGCGUGCAGGAUUACUGCCCUAUGGGUUGUAAACUGCUUUUGUACUGGAGAAAACCCUCGUUUGCGAACGAGGCUGAUAGUACCGUAAGAAUAAGCAUCGGCUAACUCCGUGCCAGCAGCCGCCGCAG